rnacentral:lncRNA from 1 species
UUUAAAUUGACAAUAUUUUUACGAUAUUGCAAAUGUAGGCGGUGAAGAAGAAAAAAAACGCAAAAAGAUAUCAAUACACGAAUAAUGUUUGUAAAAUUAUAAAAGUCAGUGUUUAGCUGUUACCCUGUUUAAAGUAACUUUUCUUGUUAAUACAGGAAAACCAUCAUUAAAGUCAGCUUCAUGAUAACAUAUUUGGAAAACCACAUCAGUUGUGAAAUGUACACGUUAUCUGAUGCAGCAAGAG